rnacentral:rRNA from 1 species
UACGGGGGGAGCAAGCGUUGUUCGGAUUUACUGGGCGUAAAGGGCGCGUAGGCGGCCAGCACAAGUCACUUGUGAAAUCUCUGAGCUUAACUCAGAACGGCCAAGUGAUACUGCUGUGCUAGAGUGCAGGAAGGGGCAAUCGGAAUUCUUGGUGUAGCGGUGAAAUGCGUAGAUAUCGUAAGGAAGACCAGUGGCGAAGGCGGGUCGCUGGACAGUUCCUGACGCUGAGGCACGAAGGCCAGGGGAGCAAACGGGA